rnacentral:rRNA from 1 species
UUGAAUUGAAGAGUUUGAUCAUGGCUCAGAUUGAACGCUGGCGGCAGGCUUAACA